CUUCAGUAGCUCAGUUGGUUAGAGCACAUGACUGUUAAUCAUGGGGUCGUUGGUUCAAGCCCAUCCUGAAGCG
rnacentral:tRNA from 1 species